AUUGAACGCUGGCGGCAGGCCUAACACAUGCAAGUCGAACGGUAACAGGAAGAAGCCUGCUUCUUUGCUGACGAGUGGCGGACGGGUGAGUAAUGUCUGGGAAACUGCCUGAUGGAGGGGGAUAACUACUGGAAACGGUAGCUAAUACCGCAUAACGUCGCAAGACCAAAGAGGGGGACCUUCGGGCCUCUUGCCAUCGGAUGGGCCCAGAUGGGAUUAGCUAGUAGGUGGGGUAACGGCUCACCUAGGCGACGAUCCCUAGCUGGUCUGAGAGGAUGACCAGCCACACUGGAACUGAGACACGGUCCAGACUCCUACGGGAGGCAGCAGUGGGGAAUAUUGCACAAUGGGCGCAAGCCUGAUGCAGCCAUGCCGCGUGUAUGAAGAAGGCCUUCGGGUUGUAAAGUACUUUCAGCGGGGAGGAAGGGAGUAAAGUUAAUACCUUUGCUCAUUGACGUUACCCGCAGAAGAAGCACCGGCUAACUCCGUG
rnacentral:rRNA from 1 species